rnacentral:rRNA from 1 species
AACGUAGGUCCCGAGCGUUAUCCGGAUUUACUGGGCGUAAAGCGUGUUCAGGCGGUCUAGCAAGUCGGGCAUGAAAUCUCUCGGCUCAACCGGGAGGGGUUGUCCGAUACUGCUGGGCUUGAGGGCAGCAGAGGGUGGUGGAAUUCCGGGUGUAGUGGUGAAAUUCGUAGAUAUCGGGAGGAACACCGGUGGCGAAGGCGGCGACCUGGGUCGAUACUGACGCUGAGGUGCGAAAGCGUGGGGAGCAAACAGG